rnacentral:rRNA from 1 species
UUAUGGCUCAGGAUGAACGCUGGCGGCGUGCUUAACACAUGCAAGUCGAACGAAGCAACUAUCUUGCUUGACAAGAAAGUUGACUUAGUGGCGGACGGGUGAGUAACGCGUGGGUAACCUGCCUCAGUACAGGGGGAUAACAGUUGGAAACGACUGCUAAGACCGCAUAACCCGCUAGUGUCGCAUGACACGGACGGAAAAUAUUUAUAGGUAUGAGAUGGGCCCGCGUCUGAUUAGCUAGUUGGUAAGGUAACGGCUUACCAAGGCGACGAUCAGUAGCCGACUUGAGAGAGUGAUCGGCCACAUUGGGACUGAGACACGGCCCAAACUCCUACGGGAGGCAGCAGUGGGGAAUAUUGGACAAUGGGGGAAACCCUGAUCCAGCCGACGCCGCGUGAGUGAAGAAGUAUUUCGGUAUGUAAAGCUCUAUCAGCAGGGAAGAUAAUGACAGUACCUGACUAAGAAGCCCCGGCUAACUACGUGCCAGCCGCCGC